GUGGUGGAAACCAAAGUCCACAAUUACUGGCACACGGGACCGGCUCUAGGCACCAGCAAAGCAAGCACGUGCUUGGGGUGGCAUUCCGCCCAUCCUUUAUUUUUUGCUUGGCCAGUUGUGCUCUCGGAACUUGGGGCUGCAAAUUUGUUGCUUGGGGUGGCAAAAAACCUGGAGCCGGCCCUGCUGGCCCAAGGAUUCCUAGAUCCUGGAUCCACUUAAGAAAUUAGUGCUGUUCGGAGUUCAAUACACAAUUCCCAGACCCACUGUGGCAAGAAACAUUUGCAAUCCAAUACUUACACAGCUCUUCAAGUCCUCUCUGAUUUGCCUGAGGAUUUCUAAUGGCCUCAUCAGCUGCUCGGAUAGACUAGGAUCCCCAAAGUUCUCCAGCACAUCGAUAACGAGGUGCAGCUCCGCCUCUACCAGGGUCACUCUGUCAUGCAGCUAGGGAGAGAAUGUGCAGGUAAAACAGCGUGUCCAGGGGAGUUGCAGACACGGAGAUAAGGAAUGUCUGUGUUAGCAGCAGGUAGGAGUGGCCUGCUUAAGGAGACUUUCCAAAGCCGUGGCCACUAGGAAGAGACCUAAGACGCAGGGGAGGCGUGAAUCCACUCUGUACACAGAGCUUGCUAAUCACGAACCUUUGGACUCUGUUGCUUACACCUUCCUUCCUUGGAAUCCAACAACAUUUCGUGCUUCAGAUCAAUCUCAAACCUUUUUUACGUUACUACAAUCUGAAGACAUAGUUGGGCAGUGCAAGUAUUUUUUUAUUUUUAUUUUUGCUGGUGAUUUGGGGAACGGUUUCUGGAUCUUCAAAGUGGCGGUGCAUAGAUGUGGAUAUGCUUUUAGAGAACUAAAAUAUUCUCUCAUGGAAAACCAAAAUACAGAAACUAAGGAUUUCCUGCCAUAUGACCUGGAGCUGCGUAUGUGAGGGAGAUUAACCAAUUCAGUCUGGAAAUAGAUGGUAAAGACAGGUGUGGAUGAGUUGGUGGUGACAAAGCCUUUGGUUUGUUGAGCACUGAGGUUAAGGUCCCCACCUCUAACUUGCCCUGAUGUCAUCCAGGCCUGGCUCAGACAUCUGAGGACAGGAAGAGGAGCUUCUGCAACCUGUGACAAGACUCUCUCCUUCCCGGGGGCACCCGUGUGUGUGUGUGUGUAGCUGUCCUGAGCCAGUCCAGUUUGAAUACGAUCAUGGCAGCCAAGCCUGACGGGUUUCACCCCACCGGACUGCAUCCUUCCGUUCUUCCUCCCUGUGGCAUGACAGGCUGCAAACACACUCAUGCCGGAGUCUGGAGACUCACUAAUCCACACAUCGUACAACUCACAACAACCGACCUUCUCUCCCCACUGCUCCACAAAGAAUUCACCGCGGAAGGCUGGCGCAAGCUCACAUCCCACACUCACUAGCUACACAGCUGUGCAUUUACUUGUAACUUGUGAAGCAUUAUAAAUAAUUCAAACUAAAUGCCAGUGGUGGAAAUAAAUUAGCCAAGUCCAUUACGUGAUGCACUAACCUGGCUUGUUAAAACUGGGUUUAUUCAUUUACAGUGAGAUUCACCCCUGCACAGAAGAGUAGCAUGUGGCCUGCAUAUCACUUAUAUCCCACUAAAGGCUAGUUUCAAGGUCAUAAAAGGUGCAUAAGCCUUGAGCUGUCUGUCUGUACAGGGCUGAAUUUCACCCUUAAUGAUCUGAAGUAGUUCUCUCUGCUCAGCCAAAUUAUGUUCGUGUAAUAUUGGCACAAAUCGUAUUAGCAACAGAAUUCUCUUUGAGAUGUUAGUUUUGUACCCCUGGUAUGUUGUCUGGAGACAAUUGGUGGUUAUCUCCCCGCCUAAAGAGUUGUUUACACCGAAACUCGGGAAAACUAAUACAAAUUAGCUCAAGGUGUGAAUUUAAAGUGGAUUAAUUAAAUUACAUUAAAACACUGUAUGGAUGCUCUCAUUAAGUGGCUUUAGUUUUGUUUAAUUUAAUUCAUUCCCAAAAUGCAGAUUUAAUGCAGUUUUGCUAAUCCACUUCAAAAAUUAAUUCCAAUUAAUUUUCCUGAGAGUUUUCACAUGUAGAUAAGACCUAAUGGUCAAAUCCAUCAUCCUUCUGGGCUAUUAUUAAUAAAAGCAAUUUGGAUUUCAAUUGUCAAUACCUCUGUGCCAUGUUCAUAUUGCACCAGACUGUGAUUUUAAUGUGAGUGCACCUUUCCAGGGAAGAUGGGUUGGGGUUGAUAACACAAGUUCUUUCCCUUGGCCUUGUCUUUUAACCUCGUUUGCUUUUAUGGACUUUUUACCUCAAGAUGUUCAGGGAUAAGGGACUAUGCAAAAGCAGGCUAUGAAUGAUUUAGUAACUGUUUCAGAGUCCUGUGCACUCAAUCCUCAGGGAGGGAUCUGCUAAAACACACACA